CUCAUGGAGAGUUCGAUCCUGGCUUAGGAUGAACGCUGGCGGCAUGCUUAACACAUGCAAGUCUGACGGGAAGUGGUAUUUCCAGUCACGGAUGGGUAAGUAAUGCGUAAAAACCUACCCUUGGGAGGGGAACAACAGCUAUAAAUGAUUGCUAAUACCCCGUAGGCUGAGGAGCAAAAGGAGGAAUCCGUCUGAGGAGGGGCUUGCAUCUGAUUAGCUAGUUGGUGAGGCAAUAGCUUAUCAAGGUGAUGAUCAGUAGCUAGUCCGAGAGGAUGAUCAGCCACACUGGGACUGAGACACGGUCCAGACCUUUAUUGGAGGCUAUAGUGGGGAAUUUUUCGUAAUGGGUGAAAGCCUGAUGGAGCAAUGCUGCGUGGAGGUAGAAGGCCCACGGGUCGUGAACUUAUUUUUCUAGAGAAGAAGCAAUGACGGUAUCUGGAUUUAAGCAUCGACUAACUUUGUGCCAACAGACGCGAUAAUACAGAGGAUGCAAGCGUUAUCCUAAAUGAUUGGGCGUAAAGCAUCUGUAGGUGGCUUUUGAAGUCCACCAUCAAAUCCUAGGGCUCAACCCUGGACAGGCGGUGGAAACUACCAAGCUGGAGUACAGUAGUGGCAGAGGGAAUUUCUAGCGGAGCAGUGAAAUGCGUAGAGAUCGGAAAGAACACCAAUGGCGAAAGCACUUUGCUGGGUCGACACUAACACUGAGAGACUAAAUCUAGGGGAGCGAAUGGGAUUAGAUACCCCAGUAGUCAUAGCCGUAAAUGAUGGAUACUAUGCAUUGUGUGUAUCGGCCUGUGCGGUGCUAUAGCUAACGAGUUAAGUAUCCCACUUGAAGAGUAUGUUCGCAAGAAUAAAACUCAAAGGAAUUGACGGGGGCCAGCACAAGUGGUGGAGCAUGUGGUUUAAUUCGACGCAAAGUGAAGAACCUUAUAAGAGCUUGACCUACAGUGAAUCCUCUUGAAAGAGAGGGGUGCCUUCGGGAGUGCGGACACAUGUGGUGCAUGGCUAUUGUUAGCUCGUGUCGUAAGGUGUUGGGUAAGUCCCGUAACAAGCGCAACCCUCGUGUUUAGUUGCCACUAUUGAGUUUGGAACCCUGAGCAAACUACCGAUGAUAAGUCAGAGGAAGGUGAGGAUGACAUCAAGUCAUUAUGACCCUUAUGCCCUGGGUGACACACAUGUUACAAUGGACGGGACAAAGGGUCGCGAUCUCGCAAGGGUGAGCUAACUCCAAUAACACGUCCUCAGUUCGGAUUGCAGGCUGUAACUCACUUGCAUAAAGCCAGAAUUCCUAGUUAUCGUCGGUUAGCCAUACGGUGCUGCAUUCAUUCCCAGGCCUUGUACACACUGCCUGUCACACUAUGGGAGCUGGCCAUGCCCGAAGUUAGUACCUUAAUCGCAAGGAGGGGGUGCCAGAGCCAGGUCUAGUAACUAGAGUGAAGUCGUAACAAGGUAGUCGUACUGAAAGGUGCGAUUGGAUCACCACCUUU
rfam:Gossypium hirsutum cultivar TM-1 chromosome 25, whole genome shotgun sequence